UGGGGAAUAUUGCACAAUGGGGGAAACCCUGAUGCAGCGACGCCGCGUGAGUGAAGAAGUAUUUCGGUAUGUAAAGCUCUAUCAGCAGGGAAGAAAAUGACGGUACCUGACUAAGAAGCCCCGGCUAACUACGUGCCAGCAGCCGCGGUAAUACGUAGGGGGCAAGCGUUAUCCGGAUUUACUGGGUGUAAAGGGAGCGUAGGUGGCAUGGCAAGUCAGAUGUGAAAGCUCGGGGCUCAACCCCGGAACUGCAUUUGAAACUGUCAAGCUAGAGUGCAGGAGAGGUAAGUGGAAUUCCUAGUGUAGCGGUGAAAU
rnacentral:rRNA from 1 species